rnacentral:rRNA from 1 species
CCUACGGGAGGCAGCAGUGAGGAAUAUUGGUCAAUGGGCGCGAGCCUGAACCAGCCAAGUAGCGUGAAGGAUGACUGCCCUACGGGUUGUAAACUUCUUUUAUAAAGGAAUAAAGUGCGGCACGUGUGCCUUUUUGUAUGUACUUUAUGAAUAAGGAUCGGCUAACUCCGUGCCAGCAGCCGCGGUAAUACGGAGGAUCCGAGCGUUAUCCGGAUUUAUUGGGUUUAAAGGGAGCGUAGGUGGGUUGUUAAGUCAGUGGUGAAAGGUUGGGGCUCAACCGUAAAAUUGCAAUUGAUACUGGCAGUCUUGAGUACAGUUGAGGUAGGCGGAAUGCGUGGUGUAGCGGUGAAAUGCUUAGAUAUCACGAAGAACUCCGAUUGCGAAGGCAGCUUACUAAACUGCCACUGACAUUGAGGCUCGAAAGCGUGGGUAUCAAACAGGAUUAGAUACCCCUGUAGUC